AGGCUGUGUGUAUAUAAGGAUAGCUGAGCAUUAAAUUUCACAUGUACAGUUCUGUUUUAGAAGUGAUUUAUCAAUUGAAAGUGCUAUUUUCUCUUUGAGGCGCUGGAUGGAUUAAGCAAAAGGUUUCGAAUACUAGGCAUCUUUCUCUAUUUAACUAAGGCAUUUGAUUAUCUAGAUCACAAAAUAUUGUUGCAGAAGUUGGACCAUUAUGGAGCACGGGGGUAUCUUACAACUGGUUCCCCUUUUACUUUAACAACAGAAAGCAAAAGGUCAUUAUCCACAUUAUUGAGAGUGGCUAUGAUGUGGGGUCUGAGAGGGGCAUGGUCAAAUAGUGUGUGCCCCACAGAUCAGUGCUGAGGCCUCCCAUGUUCCUUAUUUAUAUAAAUGAUAUGCCCUCUCGUAUUAUAGAUGAUUCUAAAAUAUUUAUGUUUCCUGAUGACACAACCUUGGUAGUAAAGGAUGUUGUGUGCAACAUUGGAACUGUUUCAAAAAGUGCAGUUCAUGAUGUAAGUCCAUGGCAUGUGGAAAAUAAAUUAACACUGAAUCACAGUAAGACUCAGUUUUUACAUUUUCUAACACACAGUUCAACAAAACCCAACAUUUUAAUUUCACAGAAUGGGCAUAUGACUAGUGAAUCUGAACAGUUCAAAUUUCUAAGUGUUCAGAUAGAUAGUAAACUGUUAAUGGAAGCCCACAUUUGGGAUCUUGUCCAAAGACUUCAUGCUGCCAUUUUUACUAUGGUAUCUGAAGUAAUUGAUAGUUUGACACGAAAAGUAGUCUACUUUGCUUAUUUUUCAUUCGCUUAUGACAUACAUUAUUAUAUUUUGUAAAGUUAGUGCUCACUGGGUGCUUAAGAACCUGACAGACAACCAACCACAAGGGUCAGCAGGCCAGUGUAUGAUGACGAGCUUGGAUUACUUAACAUGUUUGCCACAGAAGGGCAUGGCUUUGUGAAAGGGAUUUUCACUGGUGAUGUGUUGUGGGCAUACAACUACAUGCCCGAAACCAAGCAGGCUUCUAUGAAGUGGAAAUAUGCUGGUUCCCCCCGUAUAAAAAAAAUUCAGAAUGGCUCAAUCUGCUAGGAAAAUGCUUAAGAAAGUGCUCUGGGAUAUGCUUCUUGUGGUAUUGGUGGACUUAGCUGAACACAGGACCACUGUGAAUACUGCAGCCUACAUUAAAACUUCGGUUAAGUUGCAGCAUGCCCUUUGUGUUAAAUGUCACAACAUUAGUGCUGAUGGUGUCAGACUACUUCUUGACAACACUUGGCCCCAUGUUGCUGCACCUGUUCAUGAGAAAAUCGCCAAAUUUGGGUGGGAGGUGCUCCAGCAUCCACCAUGCGCCAUCGAACUUUCAUCUGUUUGGUUCCAAGAAGAAAUUCCUGGCUGGUCAACACUUUGCAACAGAUGUGGAAGUGAAAUCAGCAGUUCACAGGUGGCUAUACUCCAACCAAAUGGACUUCUACAAACAGGGCAUAUUGAAACUGGUACCAUGAUGGGAGAAAUGUGUUGAGAAUAUUGGUGACUGUGUAGAAAUAUAUUGUCAGAAGAUACACAGUCCUUACAAUGGAAUGAGUUGCUUGUAAACUGUCAUUUAUUCUCCAGGAGUAUACAACUUCAAAUGCUUAUCUUGCAGUGGUGUGAACAUAACCUAACAUGACAAGAAGAAACAGGAGAAUGAUAUAUUGGAGUGGCUGGAGAUCCCUUUAUGCAGUGAAGAUAGUUUGGACUCAUCAUCUGAUGACUCUUCACAAGACAAAACUUACGCAAGAAUAUGAAGAUUCUGGCAACAGCAGUAAUAAUGAAAAACGAAGUGUGGGAACCACCAGACCAAUCUACUCCUGGGACAGUGCUACCUACUUCUUCCGGAAAUAGUGCAUCGAUAAUAUCACCAUAUAGUAAACGAAAUAAUCGGGAAUCUGCAAAUACUAACAAUGAAUCAGAUUUCACACAUUUGAAUGCACCAAAGAAAUGCAGAAACGUUGUUUGGAAAGAGAAACAUUUAGUUAUUACUUAAAGUCAGUCAAAAUUUCACAGAACCACAGAGUUACCAGCUGAAAUAAUGAACUUCGACACUCCUUAUCAGUUU